rnacentral:rRNA from 1 species
GACGAACGCUGGCGGCGUGCUUAACACAUGCAAGUCGAACGGAAAGGCCCUGCUUUUGUGGGGUGCUCGAGUGGCGAACGGGUGAGUAACACGUGAGUAACCUGCCCUUGACUUUGGGAUAACUUCAGGAAACUGGGGCUAAUACCGGAUAGGAGCUCCUGCUGCAUGGUGGGGGUUGGAAAGUUUCGGCGGUUGGGGAUGGACUCGCGGCUUAUCAGCUUGUUGGUGGGGUAGUGGCUUACCAAGGCUUUGACGGGUAGCCGGCCUGGGAGGGUGACCGGCCACAUUGGGACUGAGAUACGGCCCAGACUCCUACGGGCGGCAGCAGUGGGGAAUAUUGCACAAUGGGCGGAAGCCUGAUGCAGCAACGCCGCGUGCGUGAUGACGGCCUUCGGGUUGUAAACCGCUGUCGCCUGUGACGAAGCGGGAUUGACGGUAAUGGGUAAAGAAGCACCGGCUAACUACGUG